AUUUUCCGGGUGUUUUCCCGAACAUGACAAGGAGCACUGAGAAGGUGAGCGGUUGGCAGGCGACGCAUAUUCCUCAAUGGCACCUGAUCCCAUCUCCGAUGUUAUGGAGCUGAAGGUUCAGCUUCAUUGAUCAUUUUAAACUCAUAUUGAGUUUAAUGUACGAAUUAGAAGGGGUUGGAUUUUUAAUUUUGGAGAAAGCGGGAUAACUCUGUUAAUAUUUUUCGACUUCUCUGACCGGAAGCAGUGAAUCCACGAGUUAUUCAAAUUGCCAUUGCCACAUUGUCAUCCUCUUCUUUCUUCUUCAGGAACAUGUUGUGACUCGAUAUGAGAAUGCGGGCUGUGUGAAUUAGUGUUAUAGGCGGCAUAGUGAGCAGUCACUGUAGGAUACCAUGGUUUGAUCCAGGACCCCGGGAACCACUGACCGUUAAGGAAGGCUCGGUGACACUCAUUAAACCACCAGCCUCCUCUACGGGUACUGACAGCAGCACAGUUACC